AGAGGUUCAACGUGGCUGUGACCUGGGCCAAAGCUUUGCUCAUCAUAGUGGGCAACCCCAUUCUCUUGGGCCAUGACCCUGACUGGAAAGCAUUCCUGGAGUUCUGUACAGAAAACAGAGGGUAUACAGGGUGUCCCUUUCCUGCCAAACUGGACCUACAGAAUGGACAGAACUUACUUCAAGAUCUGAGCAAGCUCAGCCCCUCUACCUUAGGGCCCCAUGGUCAUGACUACCUCCCCCAGGAGUGGGAGAGUAAAGGGGGCCUG